CAAUCGGCCCUUUUCAGGGCCCAUCAAUGCGUACUAAAGAGUUUUUU
rfam:Aedes aegypti strain Liverpool supercont1.337 genomic scaffold, whole genome shotgun sequence.